AGGUUGGGGGCUGGGGGCAUGCCAGGCCAGGACCUGCAACAGAAACCGCCGCCCCACCUUUCCUUUCUGUGCCCCACCCCGUCCUGCCUGAAAAGUUCCUUUCCAUGAGGGCUUGGUGCUGAGUGUGGCCCCCACAGGGAUGUCUGUGUGGUCACAGAGCGCCCGUGGGAGGGCAAUUCUGACCCCAAGGUAGGAAGCAGUGAUCGGGUAAUUCUAGGCACCAAGGCAGAUGAGAAGACCAAGCCACAGCCUUCUCAAGAAGUUUGAAGUCUGCAUUGAACUCAUUAAUUUCCAGCUUUUGGCCGGGCGUGGUGGCUCAUGACUGUAAUUCCAGCACUUUGGGAGGCCAAGAUGGGGCCCAUGAGUGAGGAGGACAAGAGAGAAAGGAGAAGUUUGGGUGGAAAUCCCAGAGAUAGUUCAUCAUGUGAGAGGAGCUGUGCAUGCAUUUCAUGCCAUACUCACACCAUGGAUGGAGAAAAAAUAUCAAGCUUCACUUUCUAAGAAUGGCCCUGGGGGCACUGCAUCUAGUGCCUGUGCAUCUGCAGACCUGCCGGAUGCCCCCAGGGGAAUCAUGCCACCCCAAGCAAGAAAGGGCCCAGUUGCCAGGAGCCUGGAGGCAGAGAGCUGAGGAGCCAGCUCCUGACAUCAGAAUGGAGCUUAAAGGUUGGCUGGGUGUGACUCU